UUGAGAUAAAAAUAAAAUGAAAAUAAAAAUAAGUAAAAAUAUAGAAUGAAAACAAAUGGUGGAUUCAUAUACCAUGUGCGAAUGUCCUCUUGUGUGUGUCAGAGCCACCAAAAUAAUGGAGGUUACUCGACUGUUACAUACACGAGGGGAUAUUGAAAACAUGUCACAUAUAAAACUAAGACAAUUAGAAAACGAUUCAUUAUAAUUAACUUGUAAUAACAUUUGCUUCACCCAAUAACUUCUGAAUUUUUCUUUUAGGUUCAGUUUUGUUUUGUUUUAGAAUAUCACCAUAUAUUUAAUGCCCAGAUGUGCAUAAUUCGGAUGACUCUUAUUCUACCUAGUUUAGAAACUUUUAAUUGCCCUGGCUCAAGAUUCCCCCAUAGACUUGGUGUCAGACGUUGGAUUGUGGCGCUCCUUGGGAGCCUCCGGGCCACCACGCGUUAAUCGACUAAUCGUUCCUGCGGGUUCUGGGGUGGUGACGGUGGAGGUCAAUGGGAGGCUCCGGGAGAAUUCACAAUAACAGGCUCCUUCGGGGAGAAUUCAAGUGGGCCAGGAUUAAAAGGUUGAAUUAAUGUAUCGAUUUGAUGUUGACCAACAAAAAACUAGAUAAUUGUACAUAGGAGUGAUCAAGUUGGGCCAGGAUUAAAAGGUUGAAUUAAUGUAUCGAUUUGAUGUUGACCAACAAAAAACUAGAUAAUUGUACAUAGGAGUGAAUCAAGUGUGGACAACAUCAAAUGCGAACAAUACGUAGAAUAAAUGAAGAUUAGGUCAUCCAAUAUACAUAGAUAGUGUAGGACAAUCGGGUAGUAUAAUGAAGGUAACUGUUGGAACCAGAUACGGUUACAAAGAAGUGAUGUUGAACAUACAAAUUUUAACAUUGUAAUUUCCCUUUUUUUCAUCAUUUUGGGUUUAUAAGAUAAGAAAUGGGUUAGCAAUACAUCUGCUCGCCAGGGACAAUAUAGGCUCAAUUUAGAUUCAGAAGUAGUAGGUUAACCUUUCAAAUGCCACUGCUACUGCUGUAACGCUUUGAUACAACGUCAGCGUCUCAUAGUCUGAUAUUUAUUUUUACUCUGAUAAGUUACGGC
ensembl:lncRNA